UACGAAGGGGGCUAGCGUUGUCCGGAAUCACUGGGCGUAAAGGGCGCGUAGGCGGCCUGAUAAGUAGGGGGUGAAAUCCUGCGGCUUAACCGCAGGGUUGCCUUCUAAACUGUCAGGCUUGAGCACAGUAGAGGCAGGUGGAAUUCCCGGUGUAGCGGUGGAAUGCGUAGAGAUCGGGAAGAACAUCAGUGGCGAAGGCGGCCUGCUGGGC
rnacentral:rRNA from 1 species